rnacentral:rRNA from 1 species
UACGUAGGGUGCAAGCGUUGUCCGGAAUUAUUGGGCGUAAAGAGCUCGUAGGCGGUCUGUCGCGUCUGCUGUGAAAACUCAGGGCUUAACCCUGAGCUUGCAGUGGGUACGGGCAGACUAGAGUGCGGUAGGGGGAGACUGGAAUUCCUGGUGUAGCGGUGAAAUGCGCAGAUAUCAGGGAGGGAACACCGGUGGGCGAAAGGCGGGUCUCUGGGCCGUAACUGACGCUGGAGGAGCGAAAGCA